rnacentral:rRNA from 1 species
AUGGGUGCUACCUUUACACCACCUUCCCAAAACUGGCGUAUACCCCUCGCAAACCACGAUCUUACACCGUAAAAUAUUUCCAUAGGCAUCUCACUUAUAUAAUAGCUCCUGCGUUUUUGGAUUGACGUGCUUCUGAUUAGGUAAUCGGUGGGGUAACGGAUCAGCAAGCCAACGAUCAGUAACUGGAGUGAGAGCACGACCAGUCACACGGGCACUGAGACACGGGCCCGACUCCUACGGGAGGCAGCAGUGAGGAAUAUUGGUCAAUGGACGCAAGUCUGAACCAGCCAUGCCGCGUGAACGAUGAAGGCGUUCUGCAUUGUAAACUUCUUUUAUCUGGGAAUAAACUUACUUUUUCUAAAGUAGCCGACGGUACCAGAGGAAUAAGCACCGGCUAACUCCGUGCCAACAGCCGCGGUAAUACGGAGGGUGCAUUCGUUAUCCGGAUUCACUGGGUUUAAAGGGUGUGUAGGCUGGUAUUUAAUUCCGUGGUGAAAUCUCCAGGCUCAACCUGUAAACUGCCAUUGAUACUAUUUAUCUUGAAUAUUGUUGAGGUAAGCGGAAUAUGUCAUGU